rnacentral:rRNA from 2 species
ACGAUGGGGCGUGCUAUACAUGCAAGUCGAACGAACUCUGGUAUUGAUUGGUGCUUGCAUCAUGAUUUACAUUUGAGUGAGUGGCGAACUGGUGAGUAACACGUGGGAAACCUGCCCAGAAGCGGGGGAUAACACCUGGAAACAGAUGCUAAUACCGCAUAACAACUUGGACCGCAUGGUCCGAGUUUGAAAGAUGGCUUCGGCUAUCACUUUUGGAUGGUCCCGCGGCGUAUUAGCUAGAUGGUGGGGUAACGGCUCACCAUGGCAAUGAUACGUAGCCGACCUGAGAGGGUAAUCGGCCACAUUGGGACUGAGACACGGCCCAAACUCCUACGGGAGGCAGCAGUAGGGAAUCUUCCACAAUGGACGAAAGUCUGAUGGAGCAACGCCGCGUGAGUGAAGAAGGGUUUCGGCUCGUAAAACUCUGUUGUUAAAGAAGAACAUAUCUGAGAGUAACUGUUCAGGUAUUGACGGUAUUUAACCAGAAAGCCACGGCUAACUACGUGCCAGCAGCCGCGGUAAUACGUAGGUGGCAAGCGUUGUCCGGAUUUAUUGGGCGUAAAGCGAGCGCAGGCGGUUUUUUAAGUCUGAUGUGAAAGCCUUCGGCUCAACCGAAGAAGUGCAUCGGAAACUGGGAAACUUGAGUGCAGAAGAGGACAGUGGAACUCCAUGUGUAGCGGUGAAAUGCGUAGAUAUAUGGAAGAACACCAGUGGCGAAGGCGGCUGUCUGGUCUGUAACUGACGCUGAGGCUCGAAAGUAUGGGUAGCAAACAGGAUUAGAUACCCUGGUAGUCCAUACCGUAAACGAUGAAUGCUAAGUGUUGGAGGGUUUCCGCCCUUCAGUGCUGCAGCUAACGCAUUAAGCAUUCCGCCUGGGGAGUACGGCCGCAAGGCUGAAACUCAAAGGAAUUGACGGGGGCCCGCACAAGCGGUGGAGCAUGUGGUUUAAUUCGAAGCUACGCGAAGAACCUUACCAGGUCUUGACAUACUAUGCAAAUCUAAGAGAUUAGACGUUCCCUUCGGGGACAUGGAUACAGGUGGUGCAUGGUUGUCGUCAGCUCGUGUCGUGAGAUGUUGGGUUAAGUCCCGCAACGAGCGCAACCCUUAUUAUCAGUUGCCAGCAUUAAGUUGGGCACUCUGGUGAGACUGCCGGUGACAAACCGGAGGAAGGUGGGGAUGACGUCAAAUCAUCAUGCCCCUUAUGACCUGGGCUACACACGUGCUACAAUGGAUGGUACAACGAGUUGCGAACUCGCGAGAGUAAGCUAAUCUCUUAAAGCCAUUCUCAGUUCGGAUUGUAGGCUGCAACUCGCCUACAUGAAGUCGGAAUCGCUAGUAAUCGCGGAUCAGCAUGCCGCGGUGAAUACGUUCCCGGGCCUUGUACACACCGCCCGUCACACCAUGAGAGUUUGUAACACCCAAAGUCGGUGGGGUAACCUUUUAGGAACCAGCCGCCUAAGGUGACAGAAAA